GAGUUUUACGCCGGGCACCCACCGCACGCGUCGCGUAAGCGUCGCGUAAGCAGCACGGCGAAGCAGCACGACGCGGCGCGUAGGGUGUCUCCACUGGUUCCGUUUGUGUCGCGCAAAGGCUUGCGUAAAAGCUAUAUAUUCCUAGUAGCUCUCGCAGCCUACAGUGGGAUUACAUCGUGUAUUUCAUGUUUGUUCAGGACUGUUGAUUAUGGGUUAAGUGAAUACUUUGGUGAGAGACCUUUUUCAGUUUGUUAAUUUGGUAAUAUUUCGUUAACUUGUAAAUACGUGAGAAAGUAAACGCUUUCAAGAAUUACCAUAAACUUAAAUCGCAACUGCGAUAGGCUACGUCUUUCUGUGGUGUAUUUUCAAAUUUACCCCGCCCCCUCCGCAAAAUAAGAUAGCGAAAGUUUGCCUUUUCCCCAGGUUCCAGUUUUUUGUUUGUUUUUUU